UGGGGGAUAUUGCACAAUGGGCGAAAGCCUGAUGCAGCGACGCCGCGUGGGGGAUGAAGGCUUUCGGGUUGUAAACCUCUUUCGCUAUCGAACAAGGCCCGCUUAGGGUGGGUUGAGGGUAGGUGGAGAAGAAGCGCCGGCUAACUACGUGCCAGCAGCCGCGGUAAUACGUAGGGCGCGAGCGUUGUCCGGAAUUAUUGGGCGUAAAGGGCUUGUAGGCGGCUUGUUGCGCCUGCUGUGAAAACGCGGGGCUUAACUUCGCGCGUGCAGUGGGUACGGGCAGGCGUGAGUGUGGUAGGGGUGACUGGAAUUCCAGGUGUAGCGGUGGAAUGCGCAGAUAUCUGGAGGAACACCGAUGGCGAAGGCAGGUCACUGGGCCAUUACUGACGCUGAGGAGCGAAAGCAUGGGUAGCGAACAGG
rnacentral:rRNA from 3 species